rnacentral:misc_RNA from 1 species
GCAAAAGUCAUCUCAUCGGUAGGUGAUUCAAACAUGCACGUGCCUUGUGAUACUAGACUAACCAAUUUCCCUCUGACAAUAUUACAUCCAGCAAAUUACCAUACCGGACUCAGCUCGCCCACUAGGUCCAUAAUGGAGGCAAAGCUUCACGACCCGGAUCCAAGACCGACCCGGACAGGCGAACCAGAGCUCGAUCUCUACACCAUCCCUAGCUACUCCAGCUGGUUUUCGUGGGACGAUAUCCACGAAACAGAAAGAGCCGGGUUGAGAGAGUUCUUCGAUGGAAGCUCAAUCACAAGAACUCCCAAAAUCUACAAAGAAUAUAGGGACUUUAUCAUCGAUAAGUACCGUGAAGAUCCUUCUAGAAGGCUUACUUUCACGGAGAUUCGCAAGUCACUGGUCGGCGACGUUACGUUGCUCCACAAGGUGUUUCAAUUCCUGGACAAGUGGGGAUUGAUAAACUUCGGUGCGAUUUCGACUCGCUACGAUGAUUUGGAGAGGGAGGAAACGGGUAAGUUUAGGGUUGAGGACGGUCCUCCGAAUGGCGUGCGGGUUGUGGCUAUGCCGAAUUCUCUGAAGCCGCUCUCGGUGCCGCAAGGUGCGGCAGGUAAUGCGGAUAUUGAUGAGAAUGGAUUGAAAUUGCCGCCGUUAACUUCCUAUUCGAAUGUGUUUGGUGAGCUGAGGAAGCAAAAGGGGCUUCUGUGUGGGAAUUGUAGUGAAAGUUGUGAUUCAGGGCUGUACGAAUAUACUAAGGGCUGUUAUGUACUUUGUAUUAAAUGUUUCAAAGAUGAAAGUUAUGGAGAAAACAAGUCCAAGGAUGACUUUAAGUUGAUUGACAAUGUUGAUAGCAGCAGUACAAAUGAAGCUGUUUGGACUGAGGCAGAGACUUUACUUCUUUUAGAAUCUAUUCUGAAGCAUGGGGAUGACUGGGAUCUUGUUGCUCAAGAUGUUCAAACCAAGACCAAACUUGAUUGCAUUUCUAAGUUAAUUGAGCUGCCAUUUGGGGAUCUUGUAUUGAGUUCUGCAUACAUAAAUGGUAAUUCCAGUGGACUGAGUGGGAGUGUAAACAAAUCAAAACAAGUUCCAUUAUCUUCAGAUGAACAUCAAGACACUGUAAAAAAUGAGGAUUUAAUGCAUGAGCAGACAAAUGUGAAUGAACAGAAUGGAGAUGCUGUGAAUGAAUAGAAUGGAGAUGCUGUGGAUGAAGGUCCUCCAUUGAAAAGAAAACGCUUUGCUUCUCUUUCAGAUGCUGGUAGUUCUUUGAUGAAACAGGUAGCUCAUAUUUCAACCAUAACUGGCCCAGAUGUUGCAGCUGCUGCGGCUGAGGCUGCUGUUGCAGCACUUUGUGAUGAAACCUCAUGUCCAAGGGAGAUUUUUAAUGGUAAUGAUGAAUUUCCAACUAAUGGAUUGUGGCCUCCCACUGUCCAUUCCAAGCCAGAAAGAGCCCAGCAGAUUGAAGACUCAGAGAUAAAGGAGAGGUCCACUCAGUCAGGUGAUUGCAGUUGUGCAAAGAAUCUGGAUGAUUUCCUGGGGAUAAUUAAACGAAUAAUGGAGUUUACCUAUUCUAUGAUAUAUCAUGUGUGCCUUCAUGAUACUGUGGUGUUUUGUUUAGUAAAAGUUUUGUUCUGAAAUUUUCCCUGUAUCAACCAUAGUAGUAGCAUGUGUUAAUCCUAUAAAUAGCUGCUUUAAUGUUUGCUCAGCUCUUUCCCUUUGUUUAUACUGCAUACUUGUUAAUCACAAUUCAGUAUCUAUUUCAGAAGCGCAGGAGACAUCUCCAGGGCAGAAUGAAAUGCCUCUAACUUUGCGACUUAGAACUGCAAUUGCAACAGCUCUAGGGGCAGCUGCUAUGCAUGCCAAGCUAUUGGCUGAUAAGGAAGACCAAGAAAUUGAAAACUUGGUGACAACCAUGGUUGAGACACAGGCAGGUGUCUUUUUGCUGUUUCUGUUUCUAUAUUGUAGAUUCUACAAUGAAAAACUUGCAUUUCUGAGGCAUGCAGUUGCUAAUGUUUGUUCUUUGUAUGGAUGCAAUAAUAGUUGAAGAAAUUGCAUUACAAAAUCAAGCAUUUUGACAAUCUGGAGCUCAUAAUGGAGAAGGAAUAUGCUGAACUUGAGGAUUUAAAAGAGUCAUUAAUUGAGGAGCAGAUUAAUGUCUUACAGACGGCAAUUACUGCUGGCAUGCCUAAAUGGAGGGAUCAUACUUCUGUGAAAUCCUAGUGGUAGUUUAUGUUGAUGUGGCCCUAAUGCGUUGUAAAGAAGCGAUAACAUGGACUAGAUUUAACAUUGAUUUUUUCUGGAAUACCAUUGUGCACUAAAGUCUAAUUUUCCAGUGUAUCAAAUUUCUUAAUCCACGGUAACUGAAUAGUAAUUAGGCUGACGAGCAUGAACUUGGGUGCGACUAAUUGCUUAUAACCUCAUGUGAUGUUAAUCUCUUUUUCUAAUGCACUUCACUUGCAUUUUACUGCUGCUUUUCUUGGUGCAAUAUUUAACGUUACUUUUCCUCUUAAUAUUACAAGCUUGUAAAUUGGUGUUGUGAUGAUUACGGCACUGUUAGGUCUUUUUUUUUCCUUGAAAAUAACAAAAUGGUAGAUAGGAUAUAGAAGUUUGUUCAAUAAAUAUGCCAUAGCCAUAUAGAGCAGACUGCUAUUUACAGCGGCACUUCGGGAAAAAAAAAAAAUUCAGUGGCAUGCUGUCAAGGUGGUAUUGCGAGUCUUCUUUAUUUAUUCUGAUUAAUUUCUCCUCAUAAGAUUACUGCUUUUGAGAUUUAAAAAAGGCAUAAAACGACAGAACAUGGUAUUCUUAUUAAGGCAAUAAAAUUACAGAGUUUAUUAACAAUAUGGGGUGGGGAAGUAACCUCACUUUUUUUGGAGGUAAUUUUUCAUCUGUUUUAGCAACACGCGGAAACACAAGCACUAGUUCUGCACUUAAUGGUACUGAAAUUAGUUGUCUGAAUUUAUUACCCUAGGCAGAUGCAGAACUUUCCCUGAGAUCCUGUCGCACAGGUUGCACUGAGGUACUUCUCCUGCAGGGCUUUUUUGCACUCAGCAAUGCACUGGGCAAGUGUGCAAGGGUUGAGUUGGAUGCCAAAUGCACCCUCCACAUGAUUUGCACCGAAAAUCAUUAUCCCCAGCACCAGGACUACCACCGUCACCGCCAACAUUCCUCUUUUGCCUUCC